rnacentral:rRNA from 1 species
AUGAACGCUGGCGGCGUGCCUAAUACAUGCAAGUCGAGCGAACAGACGAGGAGCUUGCUCCUCUGACGUUAGCGGCGGACGGGUGAGUAACACGUGGAUAACCUACCUAUAAGACUGGGAUAACUUCGGGAAACCGGAGCUAAUACCGGAUAAUAUAUUGAACCGCAUGGUUCAAUAGUGAAAGACGGUUUUGCUGUCACUUAUAGAUGGAUCCGCGCCGCAUUAGCUAGUUGGUAAGGUAACGGCUUACCAAGGCAACGAUGCGUAGCCGACCUGAGAGGGUGAUCGGCCACACUGGAACUGAGACACGGUCCAGACUCCUACGGGAGGCAGCAGUAGGGAAUCUUCCGCAAUGGGCGAAAGCCUGACGGAGCAACGCCGCGUGAGUGAUGAAGGUCUUCGGAUCGUAAAACUCUGUUAUUAGGGAAGAACAAAUGUGUAAGUAAAUAUGCACGUAUUGACGGUACCUAAUCAGAAAGCCACGGCUAACUACGUG